AGUUCUCUACUAAAACACCCACUCUGCCACCCCACCAUGCUUCACCUAUCUUAGACUGGAGGCCGGGAGAGUAAAAGAAACCUAAGCAAACAAGAAAGGCCAACCAAGAUUCGAUGUGUGAUACGAAUGGAAUAACAUGAACAGCGUGGUUCCAGUUGUCAUCAGUCUUAGGAGGCGAUCGCCAGAGCUGUCAGCAAGGGGUCCGUGGGAACUGAUGGAGAAGCUCAGCCAUCUAUUAUCACACUUAAAAUUUUCUGCCUUCAUCCGGUAACUGAUGGAAGCAGAUGCAGAGAUCCACAGCCAAGCAC